ensembl:lncRNA
UGUCGCCCCCUUCUCCUCCUGCCUUCAAUCUUUCCCAGCAUCAGGGUCUUUUCAAAUGAGUCAGUUCUUCACAUCAAGUGGCCAAAGUAUUGGAGUUUCAGCUUCAACAUCAGUCCUUCCAAUGAAUAUUCCCAACUGAUUUCUCUUAGGAUGAACUGGUUGGAUCUCCUUGGAGUCCAAGGAACUCUCAAGAGUCUUCUCCAACACCACAUGCUAAGUUGCUUCAGUUGUGUCCAACUCUUUGCAGCCUCAUGGACUGUAAUCCACCAAGCUCCACUAUCCAUGGGAUUUUCCAGGCAAGAAUACUGGAGUAGGUUGCCAUUUCCUACUCCAGGGUAUCUUCCCAUCCCAGAGACAGAACCCACAUCUCUUACGUCUCCUGCAUUGGCAGGUGGGUUCUUUUAUCACUGGCACCACCUGGGAAGUCCUCAAGUUGCUAUUCUUCAUCCAAACAACUUGUCUCUGUAUUUAGUGGCCUGUCCUGUGGUGAGCAAUUUGAGCUUGAUGCAUGCACGCCAAGUCACUUCGUCCUGUCGGACUCUUUGGGACCCCAUGGACUGUAGCCUGCCAGGCUCCCUCUGUCCGUGGGAUUCUCUAGGCAAGAAUACUGGAGUGAGUGGCCAUGCCUCCUCCAGGGGAUCUUCCCAACCCAGGGGUCGAAUCUGCAUCUCCUGCAACUCCUGCAUUACAGGCUGAUUCUUUAUCUCUGAGCCACCAGGAAAGCCCUUGGAGCCUGGACUCGGUAACAAAACAAGAUAACUAAGCUAACUGGAAUUGGAUAUAAGAAGAAGCUUCCUGCUUUAAGUCUCUAGACUCUUAAGAGACCCACUAGAUUCAUGGUAAAGGAAAGGCCUUUUAAACUUCCUGUUUAUAUCUCUAUUUGAUUUGGCUAUAGUGACUGUGGCUGGAAUUCUAGCUGAGAUCUAUUGCUUCCCAUAGCCCAGCUGUUCUAUAGGAACUCGGAGUCAGCUCUUCUCCACUGCGAGCUGGAUAAGACCAGUUGGGACCGCUGAUCCUAAAACUGACCUGAGUGGUGUCUCAUGAAUGGCCUUUGGAAGGCAGAGGACUAGAAAACUCCACCCUCAGAUCCUUCUGGGCACCUCCAUUUAAAAUAUGCAGAGUCAUGUCCAGCUCUUCCUGAUUCCAUGGACUGUAGCCCGCCAGGCUCCUCUGUCCAGGCAAGAAUACUGGAGUGGGUUGCCAUUUCCUUCUCCAGGGGAUUUUCUCGACCCAGGGAUCAAACCAGCAUCUCUUGCAUUGGGCUCAAUUCACAUUCCCCUCUCCUCCCUGUUUGUUUUCAUUGCAAUCAAGGAAAGUUUACUGCAUUCAUACUUCUUAAAGAGAAAAGUACUUUCAUGUCAUUAUAAAUUCCUACGGAGUUACAAAGUCUGACACAGAAUUGUAUGGAAAGGGCAUUAUGUGAAAAGAUACCAUGGAAGCCAGGAUCCGAGUGGAAAAUCAAAACAAGUAAAGGUUCUUUAAAAUGCUGUCAUUUCUGGAAUAAAUUAAACCUGAUACUAUGUGAGAAUGUCUUAAGUUCCCUUACAGCAAGGAUACUGAGUUAUUGUCUAGCAAACAGGCGCCUCUUUUAAGAUAAUACAAAAAUAUUCUAAAAAGACAGUUUUUCCAAUGAAAAUUAAUCUAGCUUGCUUGGUUACCUAUCAGUGUGUCAUUAUUUUGCUCAAGUGUUCAAGCAUCUUAUGUGGUGUAUCAUUUUAAUACGCUGUGAAUAAAAAUGAUGCCCCCUUUUGGUCAGCCAGCAGCCUAUCGUGUCUGGUGAUUCUUAAUGUUUUCUGUAGUCAAAUUUCAUUACAUCAUUUUAGAACAGCUCACAACUCCCUAAUAAAGGCAUGUCCACAAUACAAAUGCUUCACAUUUCCUAAAUGUCAUACCAAUUCAGAAUUACUUUUUCCUAUUUCAUUUAUCAUGCUAAAUUAUAAUUUCUAUUUGGCCAUGGUCCUUAACUUUCCUUUUAGCUACUCCUAAGGAGGCCUGGUGUGCUGCGAUUCAUGGGGUUGCAAAGAGUCGGACACGACUGAGCGACUGAACUGAACUGAAGCUGUACUUUCCUCCUAUUUCUGGAAAUUAUUUUCCUGCUAAAAUGAAUUAUUCUCCACUUUGUACCUAUAGAACUCAAUUUAAUUUUUAUCUUUCCACUUCUUCAAUUUGUCGAGAUGCUUUGAAUUUAAAUUCUACAAUAAGAAAGUCAAUCCCCCCAAGUAGAUGUCAUCAGUACAAAUGUAAUGUGUAUUCAUUCAAGUAAUUGAUAGAAGAGUGUCUGUUUUCUGCCCGGAAGAUGUUAAUCUGAGCCCUGCCCUCUCCAGUUAAUUUAGAAAUAUUGUUAACUGCUAUGAUAAAAUUUAUUAUGCAAAGGGGAAAAUGUGAUAUAAACAAUCAAAUCAUUUUAUUUCUUGAAUGCUUUGUAUAUAUCAUACUAGACUAAGCAGAGAAGGCAACGGCACCCCACUCCAGUACUCUUGCCUGGAAAAUCCCAUGGAUGGAGGAGCCUGGAAGGCUGCAGUCCAUGGGGUCGCUGAGGGUCGGACACGACUGAGCGACUUCGCUUUCACUUUUCACUUUCAUGCAUUGGAGAAGGAAAUGGCAACCCACUCCAUUGUUCUUGCCUGGAGAAUCCCAGGGACGGGGGAGCCUGGUGAGCUGCCGUCUAUGGGGUUGCACAGAGUUGGACACGACUGAAGUGACUUAGCAGCAGCAAGCAAAUUAAAAUCAACCAAAUGUAUUUUUUUAUCAGUCUCACAUUUCUAAAGCAAAUGAAAUCAAAUAAUAAGGUUUUGGG